rnacentral:misc_RNA from 1 species
AAUUCUCAACUCAAUCCUCUUGUUAUGAGAGGGCUGGGCUUGGACUUGGAGGUCUUGCCGGUGCUCCCUCGGGAAGUCGGCUCCUCUUGAAUGCAUGAGUGGAUCCCUUUUGUAGGGUUUGCCCUUGGUGUGAUAAUUAUCUACGCCGCGGGUAGCCUUGCGUUGGUCUGCUUCUAACCGUCUUCGGACAACUUUCAUCUCA